rnacentral:rRNA from 1 species
AGAGUUUGAUCCUGGCUCAGAAUGAACGCUGGCGGCAUGCCUAACACAUGCAAGUCGAACGGGAAAGAGUGCUUGCACUUUUUCUAGUGGCAAACGGGUGAGUAAUAUGUAGGAAUCUACCUUUUGGAGGGGGACAACCUUGGGAAACUAAGGCUAAUACCCCAUAUUCUCGGAGACGAGGAAAGAUUUAUCGCCAAGAGAUGAGCCUGCACCAGAUUAGGUAGUUGGUAGGGUAAAUGCCUACCAAGCCUGUGAUCUGUAGCUGGUCUGAGAGGAUGGUCAGCCACAUUGGGAUUGAGAACGGCCCAGACUCCUACGGGAGGCAGCAGUGAGGAAUAUUGGACAAUGGGGGAAACCCUGAUCCAGCAAUGUCGCGUGAAUGAAGAAGGCCUUAGGGUUGUAAAAUUCUUUCGCUUGUGAAGAUAAUGACUGUAACAAGAGAAGAAGUCCCGGCUAACUCUGUGCCAGCAGCCGCGGUAAUACAGAGGGGGCAAGCGUUAUUCGGAAUGACUGGGCGUAAAGGGUGCGUAGGCGGACCUUUAAGUAGAAUGUUAAAUUUUUGGGCUCAACCCAGAGUAUGCAUUCUAAACUGGAGGUCUGGAGUUUGGUAGAGGAAAGUGGAAUUCCUAGUGUAGAGGUGAAAUUCGUAGAUAUUAGGAGGAAUACCAGAGGCGAAGGCGACUUUCUGGGCCAAUACUGACGCUGAGGCACGAAAGCGUGGGGAGCAAACAGGAUUAGAUACCCUGGUAGUCCACGCCCUAAACGAUGAGUGUUAGACGUCGGGACCAUAGAGUUUCGGUGUCGCAGCUAACGCGUUAAACACUCCGCCUGAGGACUACGGUCGCAAGAUUAAAACUUAAAGGAAUUGACGGGGGCCCGCACAAGCGGUGGAGCAUGUGGUUUAAUUCGAAGAUACGCGAAGAACCUUACCAGCUUUUGACAUGACAGCAGAUUUUCGCAGAGACGCGGAAAGCGGUUCGGCCGGGCUGUCACAGGUGCUGCAUGGCUGUCGCCAGCUCGUGUCGUGAGAUGUUGGGUUAAGUCCCGCAACGAGCGCAACCCUUUUCCCUAGUUGCUAACAUCUAUGAUGAGAACUUUAGGGAUACUGCCGGUGAUAAAUCGGAGGAAGGAGAGGAUGAGGUCAAGUCAUCGUGGCCCUUAUGGGCUGGGCUACACACGUGCUACAAUGGCGAAACAACAAAGGGAAGCAAUUGGGUAACCAUGAGCCAAUCCUAAAAGUUCGUCUCAGUUCGGAUUGUUCCCUGGAACUCGGGAGCAUGAAGCCGGAAUCGCUAGUAAUCGUAGAUGAGAACGCUACGGUGAAUACGUUCACGGGCCUUGUACACACCGCCCGUCAAGCCAUGGAAGUUGGUCUUACCCGAAAACAGUUGCUUAAUCUUAGGAGUGGCGCUGUCUACGGUUGGGUCGAUGACUGGGGUUAAGUCGGAACAAGGUA